CUAGCAGAAAAAAAAAGCUACACAAAAAAUCAGCUGUGCUUAAAGGAUCAUUUCCGAAGAACCAACACUGGUUUGUGAGAAUCACUGAGUUUCUUCAGAUCAGCUUGUGAACAGGCAUUGGUGCUUCUUCACCUGCAGUCUGGCUCAAAGGGGAAUGACAUUUAUGAUGUCUGAAAUAGCAUUUUUUGCAAUGAAGAAUGCCAUAGUUGAAUUGUGACUUCCUAUAAAGGUAAAUCUGUACAGUAAAUGUGUCUGAUAAUUUCACAUUUCCACAGUAUGAACACAAAACCUCCAAUCCCUCCAUCUUAUAUAGAAGCAAAAAAUGUCUUUAACUGCAUGUAUGGCAGGUGCCUGGAAUGCCUCAGCCAAGGACUCAGCAAACAGGAAAAGAUAAAUAUCAUUGGAAGGCAGCUUUUGCCUGUCAUUUCUGGAUAAUGCUCUAUUUCUUUUUGCUAACUAUAAAAACAGAUGCAGAAUUUGUGGUAGGGGAUUGAUGGGACAAGUAUUUUAAAUGCUGACUCUCAGCUAUAUAUCUCCUAUUAAUACUGUAUGAUCCCUGUUUCAAUCAAGGUAACAUUAAACACCAUCCGGAUGAUGUUUUCCCAGAAAGAUAAAAAUUCAAAAUCAUAAUGAUUUUUUACUUUAUGCAUCAGUUUGCUGUGUUGCCUUGCUGAUGUCAAAUACUGCCUAUUGUAAAACCAAUUAUAUAUGCACUCUUUUGGGAGAAGACAGUAAAAAGUAAAUUGUAAGACUAAACAAAAGUUACAGUAAAUACAAUUUUGAAAAAGAAAACGUUAUUGACUAAGACUCUCACCAUUUUGGAAUAGAGUUGUUACUUCAGACAUCUCUGGCGAGCCAAAAAAUUAUAGUGUGCAAGAUGUAAGCCAUACAAUCCCCUACUGCAACAAGAGUCUUCAGAAUUUGGACUAAGUUGAUUGCUUCUGCUGGGAGAACACAAAAAAAGGCCUUUCCUGAUCUUUUUUUAUCACAAGUUUGAAAUACAAAACCAGAUUUUUUUUUUUUUUUAAAGAGAUUUCAUAAGUUAUCUGCAAUAUUACAUCUAUUGAUGUCAUGUAGCUGCUUUGUUUUGUUUUGUUUUGUUUUUUUGGUCACUUCAUUUGGAG
ensembl:lncRNA